GGGCCCGCACAAGCGGUGGAGCAUGUGGUUUAAUUCGACGCAACGCGCAGAACCUUACCAGGCCUUGACAUCCUGUGCUCGCCGGAGAGAUCCGGUUUCCCCGCAAGGGGCGCAGAGACAGGUGCUGCAUGGCUGUCGUCAGCUCGUGUCGUGAGAUGUUGGGUUAAGUCCCGCAACGAGCGCAACCCUCGCCUUUAGUUGCCAUCAUUCAGUUGGGCACUCUAAAGGGACCGCCGGCGACAAGCCGGAGGAAGGUGGGGAUGACGUCAAGUCCUCAUGGCCCUUACGGCCUGGGCUACACACGUGCUACAAUGGUAGUGACAAUGGGCAGCGACCACGCGAGUGGAUGCGAAUCCCAAAAAGCUACCCCAGUUCAGAUUGCACUCUGCAACUCGGGUGCAUGAAGGUGGAAUCGCUAGUAAUCGCAGAACAGCAGGCUGCGGUGAAUACGUUCCCGGGCCUU
rnacentral:rRNA from 1 species